rnacentral:rRNA from 1 species
CUACGUGCCAGCAGCCGCGGUAAUACGGAAGGUCCGGGCGUUAUCCGGAUUUAUUGGGUUUAAAGGGAGCGUAGGCGGACUGUUAAGUCAGCGGUUAAAGAGUGUGGCUCAACCAUACGAUGCCGUUGAAACUGGUGGUCUUGAGUGCACACAGGGAUGCUGGAACUCGUGGUGUAGCGGUGAAAUGCUUAGAUAUCACGAUGAACUCCGAUCGCGAAGGCAGGUGUCCGGGGUGUAACUGACGCUGAGGCUCGAAAGUGUGGGUAUCAAACAGGAUUAGAUACCCUGGUAGUCCACACAGUAAACGAUGAAUACUCGCAGUUUGCGAUACAAUGUAAGCUGCCAAGCGAAAGCAUUAAGUAUUCCACCUGGGGAGUACGCCGGCAACGGUGAAACUCAAAGGAAUUGACGGGGGCCCGCACAAGCGGAGGAACAUGUGGUUUAAUUCGAUGAUACGCGAGGAACCUUACCCGGGCUUGAAC